GACGAACGCUGGCGGCGUGCCUAAUACAUGCAAGUCGAGCGAAGCGGCGGACGGGUGAGUAUCACGUAAGGAACCUACCGAUAAGCGGGGGACAACAUCCGGAAACGGGUGCUAAUACCGCAUACUUAUCGCUGGCCUUGCGGUGCAUUAGCUCGUUGGUGGGGUAACGGCCUACCAAGGCAAUGAUGCAUCGACAACCUGAGAGGGUAAGCGGCCACAUGGGGACUGAGACACGACCCAAACUCCUACGGGAGGCAGCAGUGGGGAAUCUUCCGCAAUGGGCGCAAGCCUGACGGAGCAACGCCGCGUGAGUGAAGAAGGUUUUCGGAUCGUAAAGUACUUUCAGCGAGGAGGCGUUACUCGCAGAAGAAGCACCGGCUAACUCCGUGCCAGCAGCCGCGGUAAUAC
rnacentral:rRNA from 1 species